UGGUUUUAGAGCAUUUCGUAUUACUCUGUAGUCUACAUAAAUCGGAGACACUCCAUUUAGUAUGAUAUGUUACCUUUCAUAUGGUUGUAGGAUAUACAGACAGCAGCUGUGGUAGAAUGAUCAGCUGGUAGAUCAGAAAAGCUACAUCCCUGAUUGGCAGAUGAGUGGCAACCCUGAUUAGAAGUACCUGCUGCUCAUCGGUUCUUCCCUACAAAUACUGUUUUGAAUAAAAAAAUGUACCUACACACUGAAGAAGACUGCAA